AGAAAUUUUACGUGACACAGGAGUCUUCAGAAAUGAAGACCCAAAGAAACAGGUAAACCUGUAUAUUUGUUAUGCUAGGUUUGAUGGAGAAGUGGCUCAUUGUCGAGAAGUGUGAUUGGAAAAGAAAGCAUGAUCUGUUGAUAUGGAAGCAACUUAGCAAGGCCUAUUUGUCCAGUUUCUUCUCUGUGUCCCUGGAUCUUCAAAGAUAAGGGUUUUUUUUCCUUUGGGUAUAGAGAGGGCUCCUCUUUAAUGAAGGUCUUCUUUUUUCAGAGGUGGAAGGCAGGAAAAAAUCAGAGAAUGAUCUUCCUAGGUUUCAUGGCCUACUUAGGGGAGAAGGGCAGUGGAAGGUGAGAGAGACCUGCCUGCUUCUGCUGUUUUCUCAAAUGCCAAGGUACUUUGGGGGUAGCCUGUCCUGAAUCCCAUCACCCCUAUUGGAUUCUUCCUCCAUCUCUCCUAGGGAGAGUCUAAGGGUUGGAGUUUUCUCCUUCUCUAUAGGAGAUGGAGGAUGGGAGCUCAAUGAGAAAAAUAAUCUUGAGCAUCUUGAUACAAGCCUGUCCGUGUUUCCUCUCCACAGGGGAAUGCUUGUGUAUGCUUACACUGGUCCAAACACAGGAAAACUUGCAGAUCUGCAGAACACCUCGUGGGGAGGGGAAAGCUGUUUUUCACUCAAGGCUGGCUCACUUCUGAGGCCGCUGCUGGGACAGGGAACUCCUAAGGCUCACUCUGGGUAGGUCUUUGUCGAAGGGGGCAUUGGCCAGAGCCCUAUGAGGUGGCGGCCAGGCUAGUGAAGGAGGCAGAGCAAGCAACUCAAACCAUUUUCAGCUUUUCCUUUGCAGAUCCAACCUUUUAAGCAUACCUACAUUUACCUGCAAUGGCAAUCGUUUUGCAUUUUAAUGACAAAUCAAGUACGCUAACUUGCAUUUGAAACGAAAGUGCCUUAAAUGUCUUUGGCUGUCAGAAUGAGAUGUUAGGAGCUUGAUGAAAAGCGAACAAAGAAGACAAAGUAUGAAGCCUGGAUACAGUGCAAAAUGAAAUAAAACCUUGUAUGGCCUGUCAGGGGUGUCAGUUGAUAUUCAUAUCUAAAGCACAUUAUAGCAUUACUUUGCAGCUCAUAGCUUACUCAUCUGUCUUUUUUAAUUCAUCACAUUCGAGCCCACAUCUUUUAAGUCUCGUGUGUCAACAAUGGAAGAAAUCUGUUAAUUGACAAAUGAGUGUCACAAAUGUGAAUUGGUGCCUUUACAUCAGCGGCAGGUGUAGUCUCUUUUGUUUUUUGUUGGAUCUAUUAUUGGCAUAAGCCAGUGUAAGACAUCUGUCUUUGUCGGAAUGAGAAAUGACAGGCCUUCUUGGCUGUCAUUGUCUUAGUGCGUGCUCAUUCUGUGAGAUACUGUAUAAAGAUAAAAUGUCAGUUAAAAGAAUAUGAAAAACUAUCUGGAGGAAGUCCUUAAAUUACUCAGAGAGGGGAUCCGGGAAUUGGGGCUGGAAUUGAAAUCUGAGUGUUUCAGUUUGUAUCUAUCACACCUAUUUAAAAAUAAUAUUUCCUGAGUAACAGGAUGAGGUUAUCAGGCAUUUAGGAAAAUGUUAUGUUGUGCUGGUAUAAUUAGCUUUAUAAGGUGGGGAGAACAUCUACCUUUGCAAGAUAUGAAUUUAUUUAUUAUAAGGUCAUCUCUCAGACAAGUACAGAAUUGUCUCAAUAAAAACAUUCCAGGUAGGAUUCUGGGCGUUGAUUUGCAUGUGUUUUGAGAUAUUGAAAUUGUUCCACUCCAAUUUCUUUUUCGGUUAUAUUCCUAUCUGAGACUGAUGAGAAGCAUAAUGAAAUAAAAAGCAGCAGUUGUAGAGUGAUGAGACAAUUAGCGGGGAGCAAACUGUUAGUAUCACUGAGCUCCUGGUGGGUUUAGAUGCAGGCGAGUUCUGGACACCUGAGGCUCCGUUGUUAACUCCAGUUGCCGCUGGUGAGAGAGGAGGCAGCGGAUCUGAGGGUGGAGGAAUGCUCCUGCAUCCUCUUCUCUCUGCUUCAGCCCGAGCUGGAGAGCUUGGAAUUUUAGAGUUGGUGAGGACAGGGUGACCUCAGCUGGGCAUGUCUUGAGUAUGGGAUGGGUGGGCUCUAAGGGGUGCUUUCCAAACUUGAGCGUGCACACACAUCCCCGGGGAACUUGUGAAAAUGCAGUGUCUAAUUCUGUAGGUCUGGGGUUGGGCCUGAGACUGAGUUUCUAACAAGUUCCCAGGGGAUGCUGACCUGCUGCUUAGACCUGACUUGAGCGUCAAGGAGUUCAGUCCAUUCCUCCCACAGACUGUCUGAGAGGCUCCUGUAGACAAUGUGGGAUGAUGAGCUGAGAGGAGUCUUUGGAUGCUCGGGUGGGCUACACUGUUCUGGAUGAUUUUUUUUUUUUUUGAGAUGGAGUUUCACUUUUGUCGCUUAGGCUGGAGUGCAGUGGUGGGAUCUCAGCUUACUGCAACCUCCGCCUCCUGGGUUCAAGGGAGUCUCCUGCUUCAGCUUCCCAAGUAGCUGGGAUUACAGGUGCAUGCCACCACACCAGCUAAUUUUUUGUUUGUUUGUUUGUCUUGUUUUUUUUGAGAUGGAGUUUUGCUCUGUUGCCCAGGCUGGAGUGCAAUGGCGCGAUCUUGGCUCACUGCAACCUUUGCCUCCCAGGUUCAAGCGAAUCUCCUGCCUUAGCCUCCCGAGUAGCUAGGAUUACAGGCAUGUGCUACCAGGUUCGGCUAAUUUUGUAUUUUUAGUAGAGAUGGGGUUUCUCCAGGUUGGUCAGGCUGAUCUCGAACUCCUGACCUCAGGUGAUCCUCUCACCUCGGCCUCCCAAAGUGCUGGGAUUACAGGCAUGAACCACUGCGCCCGGCUAAUUUUUGUAUUUUUAGUAGAGAUGGGGUUUCUCCAUGUUGGCAAGGCUGGUCUCGAACUCUUGACCUCAGGUGAUCUACCCGCCUCGGCCUCCCAAAGUGCUGGGAUUACAGGCGUGAGCCACUGCGCCCAUCCUGUUCUGGAUGAUUUCUGUGUCAAAAAAUUAUUUCUGUAGAAAUGUUUCUAGUCCCUUCAGAGCAGGCUGGGAUCCAUUGAUUUUUCUCUAGUUCUCUGGGGCUGUAGGGGUCGGGGACAGGCCUCUCUCCUAAGUCCAAGUUACCUAGUCUUCUUCGAAGGGGUUGGCUGUGUGUGUUGUGCACAUGUGCUCACUGUGGUGAGAAGGACAUGUACUAAUGUUUGUGUUAGCAGAAAUUAUGUGUUUUUGUGUAUACUCGAGUGGUGUGUUUGUGGAUAGGCAUGUAGCAAGACUGUGCACUAGUUUAUGUGUAUGGUAUGUAAGCACACAUGUUAGCUGUAUGCUUAGGGUUGGGCAUAUACCAAAUCUAGAGGAAAGGAUGAGAUGGAGGAAGGGAGGAACUUUGCCAAGAGGAGCAAUAAGGCUCUGUAGCUGAUACUCAUUUGGAUAAUCAGAUCGAUGGGAUAUAUGUGAGGAAGAAAGGAACGGCAUGAGGAUCUGCUGCUGGGGCUAAAAUGGAGUCCUUUGGUGUCAUUAGUCUUUGGUAAACAUAUUUGCCUCCAAGGUUCCUCCUGGCACACUGCUGUGGAGCUGACUGCAGUGUUUAUUUUCGGAUGGAAUAGACCCCCAGCAAAGUUAGACAAUACUACUGGGAUCAGGGGAAGUCCUCAAAUUAUCAUCAGAGGAUCAAGGAAGGGCAAAAUAUGUGCAGCCUCAAGGACAGACACUCUCCCUUUUCUUUUUUAUUUCAGCUGGAGCCAUGACUCAAGAGAGCACAAAGCCACCUCUUUUCUUUUCACGUAAACUAAUAAUGAACUAAUGAGUAAUUGGGAGGAUGAAACUGGUAUUUUGCUGAGGGAACUCAGGAAAGCUGAUGGUUCUUUUUCCAGACUUUUCGCUCCUUCCCUGGGGCCUCUUCCUUCUUCCUUUCAGAUUCUGUGUCCCACAGACCUUUUCCUGGCUGACCCUUAAAUGCUCUGCUGUGGAGGAAACUUUAAUUUUGUUUUUAAAAGCAAAACAAGGCUUACCUGAAGAGGAUGAGGCAAGCCAGAGAGGAAGAAAAUCAUCUCAUCUGAAAAAGCGAUCUAAGCUGUAGCAGAAACCCUUGUCACUGUAAACUAGAAUGGAAUGUUUUUGUCACGUGGAGAGAGGCCCAUUUUGCUUUCUGUGGAGGUACAUUAGUAAAAAGGAAGUUGCCAGAGUAUACGUGUGUCCUUGCACAUGUCUUCUGUUCGCCUUCUAAAAAUGGGCAAAGCACGCACAUCUAUCUUGUGUUUAUCCAUACACAGGUCUGUGCAUGCAGACACAGGCCAGAUCCACAUGCAGACAUCCUUUUGUAUGCAUACUGUGGGACUAGGUACAUAGGAAGACCAUUUUACGUGCCCUCUCUUGGUUUUUCAUUGCCAGCUGUCACGGAGAAUCUGAAACAGAGAAAAAUUUAUUGGGUAGUAUUUAGAAACAUGUCGGUGGUAAUGACUGCAGCUCUGAUUUCAAUUAACACCCACUAAAUUUAGGCGAAUGCAGCGCAUUUGUAGACCUGUUGAACAUGCUUGGCAUCACGUUGCAAAAAUCUGAAGUGGCCAUGGUUUAAAAAACAUUUCAUGCUGACCACUGCUUUCAUCCUUCCCCCCUUCCCCCAAUCUGGCAUAUGGUAGCAGGCUCCCCUGUGAAAUGUAGAAACUUCAAAAUUCUCUCAGUUUGGAUUUUUAUAAAAUGACCUUUCAAUUGCAGAGAGCACAGUUAAAGUUUU
rnacentral:lncRNA from 1 species